AUUGAACGCUGGCGGCAUGCCUUACACAUGCAAGUCGAACGGCAGCAUGAUCUAGCUUGCUAGAUUGAUGGCGAGUAGCGAACGGGUGAGUAAUACAUCGGAACGUGCCCUGUAGUGGGGGAUAACUAGUCGAAAGAUUAGCUAAUACCGCAUACGACCUGAGGGUGAAAGUGGGGGACCGCAAGGCCUCAUGCUAUAGGAGCGGCCGAUGUCUGAUUAGCUAGUUGGUGAGGUAAAGGCUCACCAAGGCGACGAUCAGUAGCUGGUCUGAGAGGACGAUCAGCCACACUGGGACUGAGACACGGCCCAGACUCCUACGGGAGGCAGCAGUGGGGAAUUUUGGACAAUGGGCGAAAGCCUGAUCCAGCAAUGCCGCGUGUGUGAAGAAGGCCUUCGGGUUGUAAAGCACUUUUGUCCGGAAAGAAAUGGCUCUGGUUAAUACCUGGGGUCGAUGACGGUACCGGAAGAAUAAGGACCGGCUAACUACGUG
rnacentral:rRNA from 1 species